rnacentral:lncRNA from 1 species
GUGAGUUAGAAUAUGUAUGAUGUAGUUCGAAAGUGUAAGGCUUUUCUUAUACUCGUAUGAUAUGCGAUUAUGUUUUCUAACUCUCUGCUUUGUGUUAUUUGCUGGACCUUUGGGGGUUCAGAUAUUCAGGCUGAGGAUUGUGCCGACGUUUAGACUGCCGUUCUAGCGUGGUGUUGAAGUACCUUUUGGUGAGGAGACUUAGCAUAGAUUACUCCUCUUAGUACUAGCUUUUGACUAGAGUUUGUAAAUAGUGAAUGCUCUGGUAAUGUAACAUCGAGUCGGGGACUACGCUUGGAUUUCAUCGUAUAUCGGUGUUACUUUUUGAUAUGCUAGUUCUUGUAUAAGUGACAUCCUUAGGGAUGAAUAUGGUUUAUGUAUAUAUAUAUAUGUAUAUAUAUGCAUGCUUGGUUUGAUUGGAAUCCGCUG